UAUAUCUUUGACAGUCAUUAAUAUUUUAGUCUAUCAAUGUCAUAAAAUUUGUCUCAUCUCAAAAGCCUUAACAUUAUAUUUUUGUAUCUUUUAUUUUGGAACAUCACUCAGAGUAACAAAAAAAAAAAAAAUUGAUGAAUGGGGGGUAUAUAUAGAACUUAAUCCAGCAGGUUCUUUAGCUUUGUUGAGGUUUAUGACAGGUUUUACUGUUACCAAUGGUUACGCAGCUGUUCUGGUUUGUUAACAGAUAGGUUAAAGAGUACUUGUACCUAUUUCCUUCUUAGGAUCGAUUUCACCAACGUAUAAAUAGGUGUUUAUCUGAUUCUUAAACUGAGUUUAUGGCUGAUAAUCUACUAAGAUUAGUCGAUUAUCUUAUAAACUUUAAAAAUCAAUGUUUACAAUGGUGAGAACAGGCCUAAGUAUCUUAGCCAUCACACAAAAUCGCAUCUUUUAAAUGUCAGCGGUUUUAUUGAACACUUAUAAAUAUGAAUGAGCAUUAGAUAGGUACUCUGUGUGGAUAAUAUUGCAUAUAAAAUAUUUUAUUAAUAUAUACUGAUGGUGUAAAAACAAUUAUACAGAUAAAGCUCUAGGUGAACUAUUUAUAAAAAAAAUAUUAUUAAACUUUUAAUUACAUAGUAAAUUCUUUGAAUAAGUCAGAAAGUUUCAAAGAAUUUGGAGAUUAGAAUUUCUUUUAAAAUAAUUAAAUUUGUUUUAAUUUCGUAUUUUAGUACCUAGGUAGUAAC